AUAAAUUGUGCGGAUUAACAAUUUAGUCUGCUAAAGUAAGGUUUUAAUUCAUAAUAUUGCAUGCAUUACGGAAAUUACAUCUUUGUUUUUGAGACACAAAGAAACUGUAAUUAGAUAGAGACACUGCAUGGAUGCCAAACAUUUAGCAGGUUGAUAUAGUUCGGAAUGCGAAUUACACCGCGGAGGAAUACCAAAUCAGACCACAACAACAAAGCUGAUAUAGCGAGAGACAAGAAAAAGAUGUCUGCCUGCUUGUUCGUGCUAUCUCUGAAGUCGUAUUGAUAACAUGUGUAUUGCCCUUUUCUGAUGUCUAACGGCGCCUGCCUGUAAGGACCAGUGGAAUUGUUCCACAGGAUAUAUUUUAUGUGAAUUAUGUUGUAUACCUGCCAUCGGACAUUAAUUUUGGAGCGGUGACUGGUCAGAAAAUCAGGGAUACGUCAAGAUGCAGAAUAGCAUGCCGGGAAAAAUUACAUCAGACAAGGAGCUGAGCGACUUGCUUGACUUCAGUGCGAUGUUUUCCCCACCAACGGGUGAGGGUGGCCGAAAGAAUGGAAAUGUAGCUGCCUCUGAACAUCAUUCAGCAUCCAACUACAAGCAAGGUAAUUUAGAGUUUAAUCACUUUUUUCCUGUAUUGUUUU